rnacentral:tmRNA from 1 species
CUUGAUUUCUACACAAAAAUAAAAUAGAAUUGACUUUAUGGUUGUAAUUCCGGUGAUUCGGAAGCGUUUUGGACAGGGGUUCAAUUCCCCUCACCUCCACCACAGCGGGGGUGUACUGGCUUCGACAGGGCGUGAAAGUUGAGCAGGCAACCCGAAAGGCGACGGACGUAAUCCGAGCAAACAAUAUAAACGCAAAUGAUGAGCGUUAUGCAGUAGCCGCCUAAACACCGGUUUGCUGCGGAGGUCAUAACUGAAACCUUCUUACCAAAU